rnacentral:rRNA from 1 species
UGUCCAGGUAGGGGGGGCCUACCUUUGCAAGUCGGAACGGUAGCACAGAGAGCUUGCUCUCGGGUGACGAGUGGCGGACGGGUGAGUAAUGUCUGGGAAACUGCCUGAUGGAGGGGGAUAACUACUGGAAACGGCAGCUAAUACCGCAUAACGUCGCAAGACCAAUGAGGGGGACCUUCGGGCCUCUUGCCAUCACAUGUGCCCAGAUGGGAUUAGCUGGUAGGCGGGGUAAUGGCCCACCUAGGCGACUAUCCCUAGCUGGUCUGACAGGAUGACCAGCCACACUGGAACUGUUUACAUGUUUCACACUCCUACGGGAUCCCCAAGCGGGGAAUUUUAAUCAAUUACCUCCUGCCUGAUAAACACAUGAUGUUAUCCACCCCUAAGCUCCACCGUUUACG